rnacentral:tRNA from 1 species
GCGACUGUUGCUCAGUGGUUAGAGUGUUGGCCUGAGCACCAAAGGGUCACAGGUUCAAUUCCUGGUCAAGGGCA